ACCCUUACAAAGUUGCAUUUUAUGCCUUUUUGGGGUCCUUCUGGGACCCCUGAUGCGUGUGUGAGAGGUUUCCAGUUGAUUUUUGCACAGAAAAGUGCAUUUUUAGCAAGUUGAAAAAAUGAAAAAAAACGUAAGACUAACCCCUUACCUUUUUUUCAAAAAUCAAUGCCUCUACAAAGUGGCAUUUUAUGCCAUUUUGGGGUCCUUCUGGGACCCCUGAUGCGUGUGUGAGAGGUUUCCAGUUGAUUUUUGCACAGAAAAGUGCAUUUUUAGCAAGUUGAAAAAAUGAAAAAAAACAUAAGACUAACCCCUUACCUUUUUUUCAAAAAUCGACACCCGUACAAAGUGGCAUUUUAUGCCAUUUUAGGGUCCUUCUGGGACCCCUGAUGCGUGUGUGAGAGGUUUCCAGUUGAUUUUUGCGCAGAAAAGUGCAUUUUUAGCAAGUUGAAAAAAUGAGAAAAAACGUAAGACUAACCCCUUACCUUUUUUUCAAAAAUCGACACCCGUACAAAGUGGCAUUUUAUGCCAUUUUAGGGUCCUUCUGGGACCCCUGAUGCGUGUGUGAGAGGUUUCCAGUUGAUUUCGGCGCAGGAAAGUGCAUUUUUAGCAAGUUGAAAAAAUGAAAAAAAACAUAAGACUAACCCCUUACCUUUUUUUCAAAAAUCGACACCCGUACAAAGUGGCAUUUUAUGCCAUUUUGGGGUCCUUCUGGGACCCCUGAUGCGUGUGUGAGAGGUUUCCAGUUGAUUUUUGCACAGAAAAGUGCAUUUUUCGCAAGUUGAAAAAAUGAAAAAAAACGUAAGACUAACCCCUUACCUUUUUUUCAAAAAUCGACACCUCUACAAAGUGGCAUUUUAUGCCAUUUUGGGGUCCUUCUGGGACCCCUGAUGCGUGUGUGAGAGGUUUCCAGUUGAUUUUUGCGCAGAAAAGUGCAUUUUUAGCAAGUUGAAAAAAUGAAAAAAAACGUAAGACUAACCCCUUACCUUUUUUUCAAAAAUCGACACCCGUACAAAGUGGCAUUUUAUGCCAUUUUAGGGUCCUUCUGGGACCCCUGAUGCGUGUGUGAGAGGUUUCCAGUUGAUUUUUGCGCAGAAAAGUGCAUUUUUAGCAAGUUGAAAAAAUGAGAAAAAACGUAAGACUAACCCCUUACCUUUUUUUCAAAAAUCGACACCCGUACAAAGUGGCAUUUUAUGCCAUUUUAGGGUCCUUCUGGGACCCCUGAUGCGUGUGUGAGAGGUUUCCAGUUGAUUUCGGCGCAGGAAAGUGCAUUUUUAGCAAGUUGAAAAAAUGAAAAAAAACAUAAGACUAACCCCUUACCUUUUUUUCAAAAAUCGACACCCGUACAAAGUGGCAUUUUAUGUCAUUUUGGGGUCCUUCUGGGACCCCCGAUGCGUGUGUGAGAGGUUUCCAGUUGAUUUUUGCGCAGAAAAGUGCAUUUUUAGCAAGUUGAAAAAAUGAAAAAAAACGUAAGACUAACCCCUUACCUUUUUUUCAAAAAUCGACACCCGUACAAAGUGGCAUUUUAUGCCAUUUUGGGGUCCUUCUGGGACCCCUGAUGCGUGUGUGAGAGGUUUCCAGUUGAUUUUUGCGCAGAAAAGUGCAUUUUUAGCAAGUUGAAAAAAUGAAAAAAAACGUAAGACUAACCCCUUACCUUUUUUUCAAAAAUCGACACCCGUACAAAGUGGCAUUUUAUGCCAUUUUAGGGUCCUUCUAGGACCCCUGAUGCGUGUGUGAGAGGUUUCCAGUUGAUUUUUGCGCAGAAAAGUGCAUUUUUAGCAAGUCGAAAAAAUGAAAAGAAACGUAAGACUAACCCCUUACCUUUUUUUCAAAAAUCGACACCCAUACAAAGUGGCAUUUUAUGCCCUUUUUGCAUCCUUCUGGGACCCCCGAUGCGUGUGUGAGAGGUUUCCAGUUGAUUUUUGUGCAGAAAAGUGCAUUUUUAGCAAGUUGAAAAAAUGAAAAAAAACGUAAGACUAACCCCUUACCUUUUUUUCAAAAAUCGACACCUCUACAAAGUGGCAUUUUAUGCCAUUUUGGGGUCCUUCUGGGACCCCUGAUGCGUGUGUGAGAGGUUUCCAGUUGAUUUUUGCACAGAAAAGUGCAUUUUUCGCAAGUUGAAAAAAUGAAAAAAAACGUAAGACUAACCCCUUACCUUUUUUUCAAAAAUCGACACCUCUACAAAGUGGCAUUUUAUGCCAUUUUGGGGUCCUUCUGGGACCCCUGAUGCGUGUGUGAGAGGUUUCCAGUUGAUUUUUGCGCAGAAAAGUGCAUUUUUAGCAAGUUGAAAAAAUGAAAAAAAACGUAAGACUAACCCCUUACCUUUUUUUCAAAAAUCGACACCCGUACAAAGUGGCAUUUUAUGCCUUUUUGGGGUCCUUCUGGGACCCCUGAUGCGUGUGUGAGAGGUUUCCAGUUGAUUUUUGCGCAGAAAAGUGCAUUUUUAGCAAGUUGAAAAAAUGAAAAAAAACGUAAGACUAACCCCUUACCUUUUUUUCAAAAAUCGACACCCGUACAAAGUGGCAUUUUAUGCCAUUUUGGGGUCCUUCUGGGACCCCUGAUGCGUGUGUGAGAGGUUUCCAGUUGAUUUUUGCGCAGAAAAGUGCAUUUUUAGCAAGUUGAAAAAAUGAAAAAAAACGUAAGACUAACCCCUUACCUUUUUUUCAAAAAUCGACACCCGUACAAAGUGGCAUUUUAUGCCAUUUUGGGGUCCUUCUGGGACCCCUGAUGCGUGUGUGAGAGGUUUCCAGUUGAUUUUUGCGUAGAAAAGUGCAUUUUUAGCAAGUUGAAAAAAUGAAAAAAAACGUAAGACUAACCCCUUACCUUUUUUUCAAAAAUCGACACCCGUACAAAGUGGCAUUUUAUGCCAUUUUGGGGUCCUUCUGGGACCCCUGAUGCGUGUGUGAGAGGUUUCCAGUUGAUUUUUGCGCAGAAAAGUGCAUUUUUAGCAAGUUGAAAAAAUGAAAAAAAACGUAAGACUAACCCCUUACCUUUUUUUCAAAAAUCGACACCCGUACAAAGUGGCAUUUUAUGCCAUUUUGGGGUCCUUCUGGGACCCCCGAUGCGUGUGUGAGAGGUUUCCAGUUGAUUUUUGCGCAGAAAAGUGCAUUUUUAGCAAGUUGAAAAAAUGAAAAAAAACGUAAGACUAACCCCUUACCUUUUUUUCAAAAAUCGACACCUCUACAAAGUGGCAUUUUAUGCCUUUUUGGGGUCCUUCUGGGACCCCUGAUGCGUGUGUGAGAGGUUUCCAGUUGAUUUUUGCGCAGAAAAGUGCAUUUUUAGCAAGUUGAAAAAAUGAAAAAAAACAUAAGACUAACCCCUUACCUUUUUUUCAAAAAUCUACACCCUUACAAAGUUGCAUUUUAUGCCUUUUUGGGGUCCUUCUGGGACCCCUGAUGCGUGUGUGAGAGGUUUCCAGUUGAUUUUUGCACAGAAAAGUGCAUUUUUAGCAAGUUGAAAAAAUGAAAAAAAACGUAAGACUAACCCCUUACCUUUUUUUCAAAAAUCGACACCUCUACAAAGUGGCAUUUUAUGCCAUUUUGGGGUCCUUCUGGGACCCCUGAUGCGUGUGUGAGAGGUUUCCAGUUGAUUUUUGCGCAGAAAAGUGCAUUUUUAGCAAGUUGAAAAAAUGAAAAAAAACGUAGGACUAACCCCUUUCCUUUUUUUCAAAAAUCGACACCUCUACAAAGUGGCAUUUUAUGCCCUUUUUGCAUCCUUCUGGGACCCCCGAUGCGUGUGUGAGAGGUUUCCAGUUGAUUUCGGCGCAGGAAAGUGCAUUUUUAGCAAGUUGAAAAAAUGAAAAAAAACGUAAGACUAACCCCUUACCUUUUUUUCAAAAAUCGACACCCGUACAAAGUGGCAUUUUAUGCCUUUUUGGGGUCCUUCUGGGACCCCUGAUGCGUGUGUGAGAGGUUUCCAGUUGAUUUUUGCGCAGAAAAGUGCAUUUUUAGCAAGUUGAAAAAAUGAAAAAAAACGUAAGACUAACCCCUUACCUUUUUUUCAAAAAUCGACACCUCUACAAAGUGGCAUUUUAUGCCAUUUUAGGGUCCUUCUGGGACCCCUGAUGCGUGUGUGAGAGGUUUCCAGUUGAUUUUUGCGCAGAAAAGUGCAUUUUUAGCAAGUUGAAAAAAUGAAAAAAAACGUAAGACUAACCCCUUACCUUUUUUUCAAAAAUCGACACCCGUACAAAGUGGCAUUUUAUGCCAUUUUGGGGUCCUUCUGGGACCCCUGAUGCGUGUGUGAGAGGUUUCCAGUUGAUUUCGGCGCAGGAAAGUGCAUUUUUAGCAAGUUGAAAAAAUGAAAAAAAAAACAUAAUAUAACAUUUUCUUCACUUUUUGGGUCCUUCUGGGACCCCCGAGGAAGAUGGGGGCGGUUUCCACCUGACUUCGGAGCAGAAAAGGACAGAGUCGUUUGGCCCUCAACCAGAGCUGCAGGCAGUUGGAUGCAGGACAGAGUCGUUUGGCCCUCAACCAGAGCUACAGGCAGUUGGAUGCAGACCCACGUCGUCCAGCGGCAGUGGAGACACCCAAAGUCCCA